ensembl:lncRNA
UGAGUAUCGAGGUCAAUGGAGUACACAAAGUCAAAGCCAGAAUAUCAUCACUUAGAAAGGUUUUGUAUGGAAAGGCUAUAGUAACUGAACAUAUACUUUGCAAAGACAUUGUGUUCAAUGUUUUAUGUGUGGUGUGACUGCGAGUGUAAAGUGACAUGACACCAGGACCCAAACCAGAGCCAUAGAUGUGUACGUGACACAGUUGAGGAGUAUUGCACCUACACAGACACAAAACCAGUACCUGGAUUGGUUUGAGCCUGAUAUUUAUCUUCCUGGUUUGGUAUGCAAAGCCACUGCAGGGUGUCACGUACAGCGGUAGCGAUGGCUACACAUGCAAGCUCGUAUAGCAUCAUGAGGGCACAGAGUCAUGAGUUGCCCAAGGAAUGCCAAAAAUGCAAAUGCGUGCAUUAUCCACAUAUCUGCAAUUCCCUACUAUGUGAAACCAAGAGGCUUGAUUUUGUGUUGCAAGGAUCAUGAAUGUGAAUCAUUUCUAACAGCCGGUUGGAAGGUUGGAGGCAUGUUCCCAAAGAUCAUCUUCAGCCUCAACUCCAAAGAUUGUGUUGUUGUGAAUAAGAACUGUGUAGGAGUGUUUGUGUGUCUACGUGCAAAAUAUUUCCAAAUGGAGAGCUUCCAGCAUGUGGGCUUGGAACAAUGCAGAGUUCUUGAAGAGAGAAGGAUGUUGAAGAAACUGCACGUAGCCAUCAUAGAGGCGCCAUGGGAGCUCCCUCCCCCCUCCAUUGAACUACAACUGAGGGGGCACAGAGGCUUAGGUGUGGGCAGUGGUGGCUCAAUGGUUAAGGCUCUGGGUUAAUGGUCAGAAGGUCAGGAGCUCAAGCCCCAGCACAACUGAGCUGCCACUGUUGGGCCCCUGAAAAAGUCCCACAACCCUCCCUGCUCCAGGUGUGCUGAAUCAUGACUGACCCUGCCCUCCAACCCCAGCCCCACAACAAGCUGGGAUAUGUGAAAAAAUAAUUUUACUGUGCUGUAAUGUAUAUGUGACAAAUAAAGGCCUCUUAUUCUUCUUCAUUUGUUCCUCUAGGUUUGGGGGUUCAAAUUCUGCCUCCACAGUGUACGUGGAGUUUGCAUGUUUUCCCUGUGCUACAUGCAUUGUAGGUUGAUUGGCAUUUCCAAAUUGUUCAUAGUGUGUGUGCGAUUGUGCCCUGCGAUGGGUUGGCACCCAAUCCAGGGUGUCCCCUACCUUGUGCCUCAGUUCCCUGUUAUAAGCUCCAGGCUCCCCUACAACCCUCUGUAGCAUAAGGGUAUGGAAAAUAGAUGGAUGACUGGAACUAGUGGCAAAGAGUGAACUUAACUACAGACUGCCCAACUACAGGCUGUAUUUUUUUUUUUUUUACUAUAAAUAACUUUUCAUAUAAAAAUCAUUGUCCCAAAUGAUGAUGAUAUUUUAAAAAGUUUUUAAGUUUUAUGACUACAAUUAAAGUGUGUUAAAUAAGUCCUG